rnacentral:rRNA from 1 species
AGCAUUAUACAGCGAAACUGCGAAUGGCUCAUUAUACAAGUUAUCGUUUAUUUGAUAGUACCUUACUACUUGGAUAACCGUGGUAAUUCUAGAGCUAAUACAUGCUGAAAAUCCCGACUACGGAAGGGAUGUGUUUAUUAGAUUCAAAGCCAAUGCCCCCCGGGGCUUCACUGGUGAUUCAUGAUAACCGAUCGGAUCGCACGGCCCCCUGUGCCGGCGAUGGCUCAUUCAAAUUUCUUCCCUAUCAACUUUCGAUGUUUGGGUAGUGGCCAAACAUGGUUGCAACGGGUAACGGAGGGUUAGGGCUCGACCCCGGAGAAGGAGCCUGAGAAACGGCUACUACAUCCAAGGAAGGCAGCAGGCGCGCAAAUUACCCAAUCCCGACACGGGGAGGUAGUGACAAUAAAUACUGAUACAGGGCUCUUUUGGGUCUUGUAAUUGGAAUGAGUACAAUUUAAGUCCCUUAACGAGGAACAAUUGGAGGGCAAGUCUGGUGCCAGCAGCCGCGGUAAUUCCAGCUCCAAUAGCGUAUAUUAAAGUUGUUGUGGUUAAAAAGCUCGUAGUUGAACCUCGGGCCUGGCCGGCCGGUCCGCCUCACCGCGUGCACUGGCCCGGCCGGGUCCUUGCCCUCUGCGGAACCCCAUGUCCUUCGCUGGGCGUGGCGGGGAAGCAGGACGUUUACUUUGAAAAAAUUAGAGUGCUCCAGGCAGGCCUAUGCUCGAAUACCUUAGCAUGGAAUAAUGAAAUAGGACGCGCGGUUUUAUUUUGUUGGUUUUUAGGACCGCCGUAAUGAUUAAUAGGGACAGUCGGGGGCAUCAGUAUUCAAUGGUCAGAGGUGAAAUUCUUGGAUCCAUUGAAGACUAACUACUGCGAAAGCAUUUGUCAAGGAUGUUUUCAUUAAUCAGGAACGAAAGUUAGGGGAUCGAAGACGAUCAGAUACCGUCGUAGUCUUAACCAUAAACCAUGCCGACUAGGGAUCGGACGAUGUUUUUACUUGACUCGUUCGGCACCUUACGAGAAAUCAAAGUGCUUGGGCUCCAGGGGGAGUAUGGUCGCAAGGCUGAAACUUAAAGAAAUUGACGGAAGGGCACCACCAGGGGUGGAGCCUGCGGCUUAAUUUGACUCAACACGGGGAAACUCACCAGGUCCAGACACAAUGAGGAUUGACAGAUUGAGAGCUCUUUCUUGAUUUUGUGGGUGGUGGUGCAUGGCCGUUCUUAGUUGGUGGAGUGAUUUGUCUGCUUAAUUGCGAUAACGAACGAGACCUUAACCUGCUAAAUAGCCAGCGCUGCCCAGGCAGCGCGCCGGCUUCUUAGAGGGACUAUCGGCUCAAGCCGAUGGAAGUUUGAGGCAAUAACAGGUUGACCUUCACAGGCCUGUGACAGUGGGCCUCUUCGAAAAGAUAACCGCUAGUCCAGCCGCUUUACCUCCGCGGGGAAGCCCCCGAUGUCGGGCGGAGGAGGGGCCCCGUCCGGGGCCCCUUGCGGCGGGCGACACCACCUGGAACAGGGGACGCCGGGCGCCCGUCGGGCGCCGGCCGACCCUGUGGCGAGCCUGGGUAGCGCCAGGCCGUCGCAACGCGCGCAAAGGGGUGGGCCGGGCCCGCGUGGCCCGGCUUAAGGUACGUGCUAAUCCCGUGGGCAACCACGCCUCCGUGACCAGGCCCGGCAAGCCGAAGCACGGGGGGGCCGCAGGCGCAAGUCGCCCCGCGGCCGGCGGUCCUCACGCAAGGCCCCGGAAAUUUUAGGCUUCGGAGACGCCCGGCCGCCCCUCUGCGGCCCCGAGGUUGACGGGUGUCUGCGUGGGCGGGGGACCCACCUGCUGUGAUGCCCUUAGAUGUUCUGGGCCGCACGCGCGCUACACUGACG